GUAGUCUCGCACAGAUGCAUAUCAAUAAGCGGAGGAAAAGAAACUAACAAGGAUUCCCCUAGUAACGGCGAGUGAAGCGGGAAGAGCUCAAAUUUGAAAUCUUAAAGGGUUUCCCUUUACGAAUUGUAGUUUAAAGAAGUGUUUUCUGUUGAGGUUUUGGUAAAAGUUCUUUGGAAUAGGACAUCAUAGAGGGUGAGAAUCCCGUAUUUGACCUUUACUUUCAACUUUGUGAUACACUUUCAAAGAGUCGGAUUGUUUGGGAAUGCAGUCCAAAAUGGGUGGUAAAUUUCACCUAAAGCUAAAUAUUGGCGAGAGACCGAUAGCGAACAAGUACCGUGAGGGAAAGAUGAAAAGAACUUUGAAAAGAGAGUUAAACUGUACGUGAAAUUGUCAAAAGGGAAGCGUUUGACACCAGUGUUGUUUUUCUGAAAAUCAAUUAAAGAACUGUUUAUGCUAAGUUGUUUAGACUUUAUCAGCUAACUGUUUAGUUUUGAGCUUUUCUUUAAUGCACUUUUCAGUUAACAAGUCAACAUCAAUUUCUUUUGCUGUAAAAAAGCUUGAGGAAGGUGGCUUGAGAUUCGUCUUAAGUGUUUAUAGCCUCUUGCCUAUGCAGUCGGAGAGAUUGAGGUCUGCAGCGUAGAUCCUUCGGGGCUAAAUGCAUUUGUGCUAAGUUAUAACAUUUUAUAGACAACUUGUUGACUAUGAUUUGUCUUGUAGCUUACUCGCUUAUGUUAUUUUACCUACGCUUAGGAUGUUGAGCGCAUGUCUCUCUCU
rnacentral:rRNA from 1 species